rnacentral:rRNA from 1 species
UACAGAGGGUGCGAGCGUUGUCCGGAAUCACUGGGCGUAAAGGGCGCGUAGGUGGCGGCAUAAGGCCGUGGUGAAAGUCUGGGGCUCAACCCCAGAUCGGCCGCGGCGACUGUGUCGCUUGGGCACCGUAGAGGCAGAUGGAAUUCCGGGUGUAGCGGUGGAAUGCGUAGAGAUCCGGAAGAACACCAGUGGCGAAGGCGGGUCUCUGGACAGUUCCUGACGCUGAGGCACGAAAGCCAGGGGAGCAAACGGG